rnacentral:sRNA from 1 species
AUGUACCCGUCGUACAUUCCGGUUCCUGCGCGCCGCUCGCACCCGCCUGACAACCGCUCGCUACGCUUUGUUGGCU